CCCUCCCUCCCCCCCUUUUUCUCCCUCCCUCCCUCUCUCCCUCUCUCUGUCUCUCUGUCUCUGUCUCUCUGUCUCUGUCUCCUCCAGGGGAAGCCUGGCUGCAGCUCCCAGGGCUGGGCGGGUUGCCCCCUUCCGGCCUGAGACACGGGGGUGGGGGAAGCUGGCGUGGCCAACAGCACCUGGAGCUGGCGGUGGGGUGCUGACCAGGACGGCGUCACCGAGGCCGCGUGCCCGUCAUCCCCGUGCGGUGCAAGCCGUGUUUCUUGGCGGUCUUAAUGGACUUCAAGAGGCUGGGGGGCUGCCUCACAAGUCGGGUACUCAAAUGUCAAGAGGUGGAGGAGAGAAGCUCCAGCUGGAAUGUUCAUCUGGGAGCGCCAGCGUGCAGGGGGGAGUCUAAACCCCGAGACCGUUCUCCCUCGCCCGGGGGUGAUGGCUGAGGACGGGACAGAGAAGCCUUGGGGUCCCCCAACAUUUAGAGUCAGGGGCCGGAGGGGGAGCCAGCCUUGGGACGGGGAAGCUGUGGCCGCUGACACAGGAAGGCAGCCAGGAGAGGAUGCUGUUCUGGAGCCCAAGUGAAGGACGUCUUUGCAGGCGGGGGUCAUCCGCGGUGCCGAGUGCGCUCAUCCACUCGCGUCACCUCGCACGGCGACCUGGUCUGUGGUGGGGGUCGUCCUGCGUGCUGCUGCUAACACCCCUUUCCGCUUGUGACAACCAAAGAUGUCCGGACAUCGUGGAGCAUCCCACAGCGGGACAAAUCACCCCAGCUGAGAACCCCCGCGUCGGGUGCGUUUAGGGACAGGGAGGCCUGUCUUAGCCACCUCCUGUUCACGGUGGACGCUCAACACCCGAUACUGGACAGAAGACACCAGUCGCGGCUUACCAGUGACGUGGACUAACGGCCCAGCCACGCAGGGCCACGGCAGUUGCACUUGGGAACAGAGUGAGCCCGCCGGGGAUGUGGGUAGCAGGCUUUGUGGUAGCAAGACGGCGAGGUGCCCCCUUCCUGUGGGAGCACCUGACGGGCCCGUGUGAACAAUCUCGUGGGCUGACAAGGGACCUGAAGCCCGCUGUUCAGGGCCGAGCAGGUGCUGUGCUCCGUCUGACAAGGACGAGCCUCUCCGUGGGAGCUGGAGGGAGGCCUCCGGCUCGGUCGCUCGAGGCCCCCUGGUUUCAGGUGUCAAGGCAGGAUGUCACAUCUUCUAGGCCUUCCACUGAAGGCCCCUGGGCUCCUGCAUGGCAGGGGCCGAAGCCGUCCCAUGGCCGGGUCACUGGGGAAGGCCCGGCGUCACCAGCAGGGUCAGUGUGUGAACACGGGCCGUGACUGCUUCCCUUGAGAUGCCCGUGGCCUGGAGCUCGGUGGGACCGUUCCUCCCCACUCCCCACUCCUACGUGCUUCGGUCGACUUCCUUUUCUACGUUGUAUUCACCUGUGCAAAUGUUUGCGUGCCCAGCUCCCGGGGUGGAGCUGCGUUUCGGAGGAGAGAGGCUCUCGCUCUCACUGCUCGUUUAAUUCUUUUCCUCUCCCAGGGACACUCAGCGUCUAUUUUCUCCUGCACACACGCACAGGUCCUGUCUGAGGGGCGAUUAAGAACGCUUUGCCUUUCUGCCCUGGAAGUGAACCUGCAGCGAAAGGUGAUUCACCGGAAAAGAACAUUAACAGGACAUCGAGAUGACCACAGGCUUCGUUCACGUCUCAUUUAAGACAGAACGAGAAUGUUCCGGAGCCACAGGAGGAAAACAGAAACUGGAAGACAUCAGACAAACCCAGGUUGGGGGACACUGAGCACGACGCACGACCACCCCGAGACUGGCAGGACCACAAGGAGCGGCUGACGACUGAAGGAGACCGGGGCGCCUGAUGGCCAAACGCAGUGUGGCCCCUGGAUGGGCUCCAGUGACAGAAAGAAGACCUUAAUGGGAAAACUGGUGAAAUCCAGGUCAAGCCUGGAAUUUGAAAGCUUAUUUUGGAAAACUGUUAAGGAUCAAAAAGCUGGCACGCGGGCUCUCAGCAUAUUGAAAAUGCAAACACCAGUUAAAUAACGAGAGGAAGCUAAAUGUCAAAGUGGUGACAAAUUGGGCUUCUGGGUGGCUCAGUCGGUUAAGCGUCCAACUUCGGCUCAGGUCAUGAUCUCCAAGU